rnacentral:rRNA from 1 species
UUGAACGCUGGCGGCAGGCUUAACACAUGCAAGUCGAGCGUUAACAGAGAGUAGCUUGCUACUCUGCUGACGAGCGGCGGACGGGUGAGUAAUGCCCAGGAAUCUGCCUAGUAGUGGGGGAUAACUUGCCGAAAGGUAAGCUAAUACCGCAUACGUCCUACGGGAGAAAGCAGGGGACUCUUCGGAGCCUUGCGCUAUUAGAUGAGCCUAGGUCGGAUUAGUUAGUUGGUGAGGUAAUGGCUCACCAAGACAGCGAUCCGUAACUGGUCUGAGAGGAUGAUCAGUCCACUGGAACUGAGACACGGUCCAGACUCCUACGGGAGGCAGCAGUGGGGAAUAUUGGACAAUGGGGGAAACCCUGAUCCACCAUGCCGCGUGUGUGAAGAAGGUCUUCGGAUGGAAACACUUUAAGUUGG